rnacentral:lncRNA from 1 species
CCAGAAGAAGGAGAUGAAGAAGCCUAGAUUCCAUAAUGCGGGAGUCCCAGAUCCUCAAAGUACGAUGAUUCGCCAAAUCAAGAAAUGAGGAUUAGGAAGCAGUCACCCUCGAAAGGAACUAAAUCAUCACCUUGGGAAUUGUGGCCAGUCAUGAGACAUGCAUGAGGAGACUGAAGGGGGUUUUUGCAGUGCCAGGUGUGGAUUGAGAUUCAGCCUUGUAAGACUUACUCACUGAAAACUGGAAUUUGCUUAGUUCCAAGGUAACCUUUUGUAACAGAUGUCAUUGGCUACCUAUCCAAUAGUCAUUCCACUUCCCUUUGUUUUUCCUUGGAGGAGAACAAGAUUUUCUUCAUUAUACACAAUAAAAUUGGGAUG